rnacentral:rRNA from 1 species
UACAGAGGUCUCAAGCGUUGUUCGGAUUCAUUGGGCGUAAAGGGUGUGUAGGUGGCGCCGUAAGUCGGGGUGUGAAAUUUCGGAGCUUAACUCCGAAACUGCAUUCGAUACUGCGGUGCUUGAGGACUGGAGAGGAGACUGGAAUUCAUGGUGUAGCAGUGAAAUGCGUAGAGAUCAUGAGGAAGACCAGUGGCGAAGGCGGGUCUCUGGGACGGUACUGACGCUGAGACGCGAAAGCGUGGGGAGCGAACAGG